rnacentral:ncRNA from 12 species
UAUGUAUACAGGUUGAGAAAACACUGUCAAAUCAAACAGUUAAGAGAUUGAUUAAUUAAGCGUAUGUGAAGUACGUCUCCCUGUUUGGAAAAGGUCUUGUUCAAAGAACAAGAUCUUUUUUUAUUU